rnacentral:rRNA from 1 species
AAUCAACGCUGGCGGCGUGCCUAACACAUGCAAGUCGAACGAGAAAGGGAUCCUUCGGGAACCUGAGUAAAGUGGCGAACGGGUGAGUAACACGUGGGUGACCUGCCCUCUGGAGGGGGAUAACCCGAGGAAACUCGGGCUAAGACCGCAUAAGCCUUCGAGGUCAAAUUCAAAGGGAAAAGGAUUUAGCUUUCGAGCUAGAUCCUACCGGAGGAGGGGCCCGCGUCCCAUUAGCUAGUUGGUGGGGUAAAAGCCUACCAAGGCUACGAUGGGUAGCCGGUCUGAGAGGACGGACGGCCACACUGGAACUGAGACACGGUCCAGACUCCUACGGGAGGCAGCAGUGGGGAAUUUUGGGCAAUGGGCGAAAGCCUGACCCAGCAACGCCGCGUGGAGGAUGAAGGCCCUCGGGUCGUAAACUCCUGUCCUAGGGGAAGAAAAAAAUGACGGUACCCUUGGAGGAAGCCCCGGCUAACUCCGUGCCAGCAGCCGCGGUAAGACGGGGGGGCGAGCGUUGUUCGGAAUUACUGGGCGUAAAGGGCGCGCAGGCGGCUUGGGAAGUCUUGGGUGAAAGCCCCCAGCUCAACUGGGGAAUGGCCUGAGAAACCACUA